rnacentral:rRNA from 1 species
UACGGAGGAGGCAAGCGUUAUCCGGAAUUAUUGGGCGUAAAGCGUCCGCAGGCGGCGAUUCAAGUCUGCGGUCAAAGACUGGGGCUUAACCCUGGAAAGGCCGUGGAAACUGAAUAGCUAGAGUGCAGUAGGGGUAGAGGGAAUUCCCGGUGUAGCGGUGAAAUGCGUAGAGCUCGGGAAGAACAUCGGUGGCGAAAGCGCUCUGCUGGACUGCAACUGACACUCAGGGACGAAAGCUAGGGGAGCGAAUGGG